GAGACCAGUGCUCUGUCAGCAGGAGACAAACCGAUUGAACAAAGUGACGCCGCUGCAAAACACAGGCGGCUGAAAUGAGAGCCACUGGACGCAACGAGAUAGCACCCGGCGGUGUGGCGGCUGUAGCUCAGUAUGCAGCUUCUGUUAACCUGCGCGACGUCAAUAAAACGAAACUUGGUGAUGUGUUAGAGGUACAGAUUAUGUUAACAUUUAAUAUAAUACAUCAAUAAUUAUGUUUAACAUUCUAGGGUUUUUAAUUCUUUUAAUUGUUUUUUUUUUCUGAAAAUAAUGCAGGAUGCAACUCAGAAGUUGCCUGCGGACAAACCUGUGACUAGAGAGGAUGCAAGGGCGGUGAUAGGAGCGGAGAUACGGAACAGUCCGAAUAUGGCCACUACUCCAG
rnacentral:lncRNA from 1 species